UACGAAGGGGGCUAGCGUUGUUCGGAAUCACUGGGCGUAAAGGGCGCGUAGGCGGCUUUAUAAGUCGGGGGUGAAAGCCUGUGGCUCAACCACAGAAUUGCCUUCGAUACUGUAGAGCUUGAGACCGGAAGAGGUAAGUGGAACUGCGAGUGUAGAGGUGAAAUUCGUAGAUAUUCGCAAGAACACCAGUGGCGAAGGCGGAUCACUGGCAAGAUACUGACGCUGAGGCACGAAAGCGUGGGGAGCAAACAGG
rnacentral:rRNA from 1 species